rnacentral:rRNA from 1 species
CGAAAGCCUGACGGAGCAAUACCGCGUGAGGGAGGAAGGCUCUUGGGUCGUAAACCUCUUUUCUCAGGGAAGAACACAAUGACGGUACCUGAGGAAUAAGCAUCGGCUAACUCCGUGCCAGCAGCCGCGGUAAUACGGAGGAUGCAAGCGUUAUCCGGAAUGAUUGGGCGUAAAGCGUCCGCAGGUGGCGAUGUAAGUCUGCUGUUAAAGAGUGAGGCUCAACCUCAUAAGAGCAGUGGAAACUACAUAGCUAGAGUACGUUCGGGGCAGAGGGAAUUCCUGGUGUAGCGGUGAAAUGCGUAGAGAUCAGGAAGAACACCAGUGGCGAAGGCGCUCUGCUAGGCCGUAACUGACACUGAGGGACGAAAGC